AAGCAUAUCAAUAAGCGGAGGAAAAGAAACCAACUGGGAUUGCCUUAGUAACGGCGAGUGAAGCGGCAAUAGCUCAAAUUUGAAAGCUGGCCCCUUUGGGGUCCGCGUUGUAAUUUGUAGAGGAUGAUUCGGCGAGGGCUCCCGUCUAAGUCCCCUGGAACGGGGCGUCAUAGAGGGUGAGAAUCCCGUAUGUGAUGGGUUGCCUUAGCCAUGUGAAUCUCCUUCGACGAGUCGAGUUGUUUGGGAAUGCAGCUCUAAAUGGGAGGUAAAUUUCUUCUAAAGCUAAAUACCGGCCAGAGACCGAUAGCGCACAAGUAGAGUGAUCGAAAGAUGAAAAGCACUUUGGAAAGAGAGUUAAAAAGUACGUGAAAUUGUUGAAAGGGAAGCGCUUGCAGCCAGACUUGUCCGCAGUUGCUCAGCCGGUCUCCUGACCGGCGUACUCUUCUGCGGCCAGGCCAGCAUCAGUUCGGGCGGUCGGAUAAAGACCUCGGGAAUGUAGCUCCUCUCGGGGAGUGUUAUAGCCCGGGGUGGAAUGCGGCCAGCCUGGACUGAGGAUCUCGCUUCGGCUAGGAUGCUGGCGUAAUGGCUGUAAGCGGCCCGUCUUGAAACACGGACCAAGGAGUCUAACAUCUAUGCGAGUGUUUGGGUGUCAAACCCAUACGCGUAAUGAAAGUGAACGGAGGUGGGAACCCUCACGGGUGCACCAUCGACCGAUCCUGAUGUCUUCGGAUGGAUUUGAGUAUGAGCAUAGCUGUUGGGACCCGAAAGAUGGUGAACUAUGCCUGAAUAGGGUGAAGCCAGAGGAAACUCUGGUGGAGGCUCGCAGCGGUUCUGACGUGCAAAUCGAUCGUCAAAUUUGGGUAUAGGGGCGAAAGACUAAUCGAACCAUCUAGUAGCUGGUUCCUGCCGAAG
rnacentral:rRNA from 1 species